rnacentral:rRNA from 1 species
GGAUGCGAUCAUACCAGCACUAAAGCAUCGGAUCCCAUCAGAACUCUGAAGUUAAGCGUGCUUGGGCGAGAGUAGUACUAGGAUGGGUGACCUCCUCGGAAGUCCUCGUGCUGCAUUCC